AGAGAGCUUUUAGGAGAGGAAAGAAGUCCUGUAUCUUCGGCUCUGGAUAAUUGCAGAAUGGGUUUGGAAUGCAUUUAAGAAAACAGAUCCAGCAAAUAAGGAAUUCUGGACUAAUAAGACCCCAUCUUUCUAACUGCCUGGCGAGUUGUUGCUGAUGCAUUUUCACAGGCCAUAUCAAUACAUGUUCCAGAGAAUGGCGACACUAUAUGAAUGAAGAUGCAAUUAAUCACUUGUGACUUGAGGUGAUGUGAGUCUCAAAAAUAUCUGAAGAGAGGGUAAACUUGGGAUUGCAGCCAGAUCAUGAAAUGUUGGUGCUUGGGGAGGCAGAUUAAGUGUUAAUUAACCCCUCCCAGGGCCAGGCAGGUGUGGGAUGUGGUGCACUGUUGUACAAUGCCCUACCAAUAUUGCACUCGUCCCGGCCUCCCGGACCCAGGGUAUUCCAUCUUUAACAGAGGAGCUCAGAAAGGUUGUUUUUCCUCAUUAUUUUCUCUCCGUAAACAUGUGGAAGAGCACUGUGAUAUGUACUUCAAAACUUUGUUCUCACUUAAAAAUAUAUUUUCAAAAUCACUUUCUACAGCACAUUUUGCUACUACAAUUAUUAGAGAUACAUACUUCAUAUCUGUAGUACUGCCAUUGGCUAUAUUGACCCAAUUUAUUCUAUCUAUUUGCAACAUGUGGCCUGCUAUGGGAGAAACCCAGGGAAUUUAUUCUAUACAGUUGGUAAGCCUCUGCUUCCAAAUGGUCCCACUGUCUGCACCUGACACUGGCUGGCUAGCUUCCACGUGGGGACCUUUGCCAACUCCACUAAGUCAUUCUCUUCCCUCUGUCCUUGUGACUUCACUCUGAAAGUUCCCACAUAUUGGGAUAGGAAGCAGUAUUGCACAAACUCUGUAUGGCCAGCAAGACCUAGGAUGACAAAUGCCUAUCAUAUUGCAUCUAUUCUCACCUGAGAGAGAGUUAGUCAGGAUAGAGCAAAGAGAAUGAAUGAUCCGAUUGGAAUCCAGCCACAGUAGUCUGGGGUCAAUAGCAGGACAUCUCCAGCUUAAUAGAAUAAUGCUUAAAAUACUCCAUUCUAAAUGGAAUCCAAAUAAAUGUUCAAGUCUGUCCUCAGCAGGGUAACUCGUUUUGUUGUUAUUACACAAGUAGAAUGGGAAGAGGCUUUAUUUCACUUAUGUGGUAACAAAAUGCUCAACUCCAUUACAAGGUCAAUUACAAUGUAACAACAUGUUAAAAUACAGUGUUAUUAUUGAGUUAUUACAGUGUUACUACACCGGCAUGAGAAUAACUUAAUUAGGCAAUGUGACACAUAAUAUAUGAUAUUAAAUAUAGCAAGUUCUGUACAAUGUAUAUGGAUUUUUUUGACUGACUAUUAUGGUGGAGCAGAGAAGCAGACAGUGGAGACAGACUGGGCAGUUCAGUCAGUUGAGCCCUGGGGUCUGUCUGCUCCUGGGAGGUAUGAUGACAACCACAGCACUCAGCGGUUAGAUACAGUUAGCACCAGUGUCACCACAUACUUCACUGACUAGAUGACCUUGGAACAGCAGUGCUCACUCACAGUUGCUCUUGAUUUAUUUGACAGUUUUUAAAAAGUCGUAUCGUUCAUUAGCAUACUUGUUGUGUACAGAAUCACAAAGGUCAAAUAAACAUAUUUUUAAGAAA